rnacentral:rRNA from 1 species
UACAGAGGUCUCAAGCGUUGUUCGGAUUCAUUGGGCGUAAAGGGUGCGUAGGCGGCGCGGUAAGUCGGGUGUGAAAUCUCGGAGCUUAACUCCGAAACUGCAUUCGAUACUGCCGUGCUUGAGGACUGGAGAGGAGACUGGAAUUUACGGUGUAGCGGUGAAAUGCGUAGAUAUCGGGAGGAACAUCUGUGGCGAAGGCGACACCCUGGACCAGCACUGACACUGAGGCACGAAAGCGUGGGGAGCAAACAGG